GAAACCUUGAAAACAUUUUUCAUUAAUGUCUCACCUUGUUUUUUGUCCUUUAGAGUUGCAAGAUACUCCUUGCAGUUUUUUUUUCUUCCAAUUAUUUAUGAUAAACCUUGUUGCCUUGAACAUCAUUCUCUGGAGGGAUUAUCUUUGCAGGCUUAUCGAUCACAUCCAUAACCUUUUCAUGCAUGAGAACAAUUCUCAAAUUUCUAUACCAGUCAUCAAAGUUUGGUCAUACCAAUUUUUUGGUCUCAAGUAUUUCACAUAGUGAUAUA
rnacentral:lncRNA from 1 species